rnacentral:rRNA from 1 species
CUCUUAAAGCUCUGUUGGUACUGAAGAAAGAUACAGGUAGUAACUGGCCUUUAUUUGACGGUAAUUACUUACAAAGUCACGGCUAACUACGUGCCAGCACCCGCGGUAAUACGUAGGUGGCAAGCGUUGUCCGGAUUUAUUGGGCGUAAAGCGAGUGCAGGCGGUUCAAUAAGUAUGAUGUGAAAGCCUUCGGCUCAACCGGAGAAUUGCAUCCCCCCCUGUUGAACUUGAGUGCAGAAGAGGAGACCGGCAACUCCAUGUGUAGCGGUGGAAUGCGUA